CGCUGGUCCUCCAAAGACCAGCACCGAAGAGGCUUGUCCUUCAUUGCCGGGCGUGCGGGGUCUCCCCAAGCGACGGUUAUCAGAGUCCGAAUGUCACGUUCGGCUGUUCUCGGCGUCUCCAUCGCGCCUUGAAUCGCUGACGCGUCAG
rfam:Bosea sp. Root483D1 contig_6, whole genome shotgun sequence.